rnacentral:pre_miRNA from 1 species
UUUAAACGUAGCCAUGAAUUUCUAUGUCAAACUUUAAUCGUUCGUUUUAUUUUUUUUAAAAAAAUAAAGAAACAUAAGCCACGCAUAAAGUACUAUUCAUGUUUUAUCAUCUAAUAACAAUAAAAAUAUUAAUCAUAAAAAAUUUCAAAUAACACGGAUGAUCAAAGUUGGACAUGAAAACUCAUGACUGCGCUUAAA